GGGUUGUGAGGUUAAGCGACUAAGCGUACACGGUGGAUGCCCUGGCAGUCAGAGGCGAUGAAGGACGUGCUAAUCUGCGAUAAGCGUCGGUAAGGUGAUAUGAACCGUUAUAACCGGCGAUUUCCGAAUGGGGAAACCCAGUGUGAUUCGUCACACUAUCAUUAACUGAAUCCAUAGGUUAAUGAGGCGAACCGGGGGAACUGAAACAUCUAAGUACCCCGAGGAAAAGAAAUCAACCGAGAUUCCCCCAGUAGCGGCGAGCGAACGGGGAGCAGCCCAGAGCCUGAAUCAGUGUGUGUGUUAGUGGAAGCGUCUGGAAAGGCGCGCGAUACAGGGUGACAGCCCCGUACACAAAAAUGCACAUGCUGUGAGCUCGAUGAGUAGGGCGGGACACGUGGUAUCCUGUCUGAAUAUGGGGGGACCAUCCUCCAAGGCUAAAUACUCCUGACUGACCGAUAGUGAACCAGUACCGUGAGGGAAAGGCGAAAAGAACCCCGGCGAGGGGAGUGAAAAAGAACCUGAAACCGUGUACGUACAAGCAGUGGGAGCACGCUUAGGCGUGUGACUGCGUACCUUUUGUAUAAUGGGUCAGCGACUUAUAUUCUGUAGCAAGGUUAACCGAAUAGGGGAGCCGAAGGGAAACCGAGUCUUAACUGGGCGUUAAGUUGCAGGGUAUAGACCCGAAACCCGGUGAUCUAGCCAUGGGCAGGUUGAAGGUUGGGUAACACUAACUGGAGGACCGAACCGACUAAUGUUGAAAAAUUAGCGGAUGACUUGUGGCUGGGGGUGAAAGGCCAAUCAAACCGGGAGAUAGCUGGUUCUCCCCGAAAGCUAUUUAGGUAGCGCCUCGUGAAUUCAUCUCCGGGGGUAGAGCACUGUUUCGGCAAGGGGGUCAUCCCGACUUACCAACCCGAUGCAAACUGCGAAUACCGGAGAAUGUUAUCACGGGAGACACACGGCGGGUGCUAACGUCCGUCGUGAAGAGGGAAACAACCCAGACCGCCAGCUAAGGUCCCAAAGUCAUGGUUAAGUGGGAAACGAUGUGGGAAGGCCCAGACAGCCAGGAUGUUGGCUUAGAAGCAGCCAUCAUUUAAAGAAAGCGUAAUAGCUCACUGGUCGAGUCGGCCUGCGCGGAAGAUGUAACGGGGCUAAACCAUGCACCGAAGCUGCGGCAGCGACGCUUAUGCUGGAGGUAUCAGAAGUGCGAAUGCUGACAUAAGUAACGAUAAAGCGGGUGAAAAGCCCGCUCGCCGGAAGACCAAGGGUUCCUGUCCAACGUUAAUCGGGGCAGGGUGAGUCGACCCCUAAGGCGAGGCCGAAAGGCGUAGUCGAUGGGAAACAGGUUAAUAUUCCUGUACUUGGUGUUACUGCGAAGGGGGGACGGAGAAGGCUAUGUUGGCCGGGCGACGGUUGUCCCGGUUUAAGCGUGUAGGCUGGUUUUCCAGGCAAAUCCGGAAAAUCAAGGCUGAGGCGUGAUGACGAGGCACUACGGUGCUGAAGCAACAAAUGCCCUGCUUCCAGGAAAAGCCUCUAAGCAUCAGGUAACAUCAAAUCGUACCCCAAACCGACACAGGUGGUCAGGUAGAGAAUACCAAGGCGCUUGAGAGAACUCGGGUGAAGGAACUAGGCAAAAUGGUGCCGUAACUUCGGGAGAAGGCACGCUGAUAUGUAGGUGAAGUCCCUCGCGGAUGGAGCUGAAAUCAGUCGAAGAUACCAGCUGGCUGCAACUGUUUAUUAAAAACACAGCACUGUGCAAACACGAAAGUGGACGUAUACGGUGUGACGCCUGCCCGGUGCCGGAAGGUUAAUUGAUGGGGUCAGCGCAAGCGAAGCUCUUGAUCGAAGCCCCGGUAAACGGCGGCCGUAACUAUAACGGUCCUAAGGUAGCGAAAUUCCUUGUCGGGUAAGUUCCGACCUGCACGAAUGGCGUAAUGAUGGCCAGGCUGUCUCCACCCGAGACUCAGUGAAAUUGAACUCGCUGUGAAGAUGCAGUGUACCCGCGGCAAGACGGAAAGACCCCGUGAACCUUUACUAUAGCUUGACACUGAACAUUGAGCCUUGAUGUGUAGGAUAGGUGGGAGGCUUUGAAGUGUGGACGCCAGUCUGCAUGGAGCCGACCUUGAAAUACCACCCUUUAAUGUUUGAUGUUCUAACGUUGACCCGUGAUCCGGGUUGCGGACAGUGUCUGGUGGGUAGUUUGACUGGGGCGGUCUCCUCCUAAAGAGUGACCCGUGAUCCGGGUUGCGGACAGUGUCUGGUGGGUAGUUUGACUGGGGCGGUCUCCUCCUAAAGAGUAACGGAGGAGCACGAAGGUUGGCUAAUCCUGGUCGGACAUCAGGAGGUUAGUGCAAUGGCAUAAGCCAGCUUGACUGCGAGCGUGACGGCGCGAGCAGGUGCGAAAGCAGGUCAUAGUGAUCCGGUGGUUCUGAAUGGAAGGGCCAUCGCUCAACGGAUAAAAGGUACUCCGGGGAUAACAGGCUGAUACCGCCCAAGAGUUCAUAUCGACGGCGGUGUUUGGCACCUCGAUGUCGGCUCAUCACAUCCUGGGGCUGAAGUAGGUCCCAAGGGUAUGGCUGUUCGCCAUUUAAAGUGGUACGCGAGCUGGGUUUAGAACGUCGUGAGACAGUUCGGUCCCUAUCUGCCGUGGGCGCUGGAGAACUGAGGGGGGCUGCUCCUAGUACGAGAGGACCGGAGUGGACGCAUCACUGGUGUUCGGGUUGUCAUGCCAAUGGCACUGCCCGGUAGCUAAAUGCGGAAGAGAUAAGUGCUGAAAGCAUCUAAGCACGAAACUUGCCCCGAGAUGAGUUCUCCCUGACUCCUUGAGAGUCCUGAAGGAACGUUGAAGACGACGACGUUGAUAGGCCGGGUGUGUAAGCGCAGCGAUGCGUUGAGCUAACCGGUACUAAUGAACCGUGAGGCUUAACCUUACAACGCCGAAG
rnacentral:rRNA from 1 species